GCAGCAGCCGCGGUAAUACGAAGGGUGCAAGCGUUACUCGGAAUUACUGGGCGUAAAGCGUGCGUAGGUGGUGGUUUAAGUCCGUUGUGAAAGCCCUGGGCUCAACCUGGGAAUUGCAGUGGAUACUGGGUCACUAGAGUGUGGUAGAGGAUAGUGGAAUUUCCGGUGUAGCAGUGAAAUGCGUAGAGAUCGGAAGGAACAUCUGUGGCGAAGGCGACUAUCUGGGCCAACACUGACACUGAGGCACGAAAGCGUGGGGAGCAAACAGGAUUAGAUACCCCCGUAGUCCCUGUCUCUUAUA
rnacentral:rRNA from 1 species